GUGGGAUCGUACUACUUAGUCAUCGGUUUCUAUUUUGUGUUGUUUUGUGUAAUGUUUGAUAUUUUGAAGUCUUGUUUUAUCGUUUGCAAUGAAAAUAUCUAUUUUUAUUCGACUUAAUUUUUUUUUAAAACAUAUUUAUUUAUAGUGGAUUGGGAAACAAGUUUUGCAACUUAUAUUAAUCCCUUUCCACUUUGCAGGUGGAGUGCUGCCUUGUAGCGGCAUUAGCCUACUCUUUUUCGAAAUCUACAAGGGUGUCUUUAACGUGCAAGAGAUAUGGCUCUCUCUUAACACGAGUCAGCCAUUUGUCGUCCCCUUUCGAUGGACUAUCAUCGUUUCCUCAAGACCAUACUCGCAGAUGGUGUCAUGGGAGAGCCGAAAAUUGAUUUCCUGAAAUUUUCAUCCCAAACGGGAAUCGAACCAGGAACCUUUGUGUUAGUAGUCCGAUUCACUAACCACUACACCACAGCUCUC
rnacentral:lncRNA from 1 species